CCUACGGGGGGCUGCAGUGGGGAAUAUUGGACAAUGGGGGGAACCCUGAUCCAGCCAUGCCGCGUGUGUGAAGAAGGCCCUCGGGUUGUAAAGCACUUUCAGUGAGGAAGAACGCCUGGUGGUUAAUACCCAUCAGGAAAGACAUCACUCACAGAAGAAGCACCGGCUAACUCCGUGCCAGCAGCCGCGGUAAUACGGAGGGUGCGAGCGUUAAUCGGAAUUACUGGGCGUAAAGCGCGCGUAGGUGGCUUGAUAAGCCGGUUGUGAAAGCCCCGGGCUCAACCUGGGAACGGCAUCCGGAACUGUCAAGCUAGAGUGCAGGAGAGGAAGGCAGAAUUCCCGGUGUAGCGGUGAAAUGCGUAGAGAUCGGGAGGAAUACCAGUGGCGAAGGCGGCCUUCUGGACUGACACUGACACUGAGGUGCGAAAGCGUGGGUAGCAAACAGGAUUAGAUACCCCGGUAGUC
rnacentral:rRNA from 1 species